GACGAACGCUGGCGGCGUGCCUAACACAUGCAAGUCGAGCGAGGGAAGCUUCUUCGGAAGUGGAACUAGCGGCGGACGGGUGAGUAACACGUGGGCAACCUGCCUCGUAGAGGGGAAUAGCCUUUCGAAAGGAAGAUUAAUACCCCAUAAGAUUGUAGAUUCGCAUGAAUUAGCAAUUAAAGGAGCAAUCCGCUACGAGAUGGGCCCGCGUCGCAUUAGCUAGUUGGUAAGGUAAUGGCUUACCAAGGCGACGAUGCGUAGCCGACCUGAGAGGGUGAUCGGCCACAUUGGGACUGAGACACGGCCCAGACUCCUACGGGAGGCAGCAGUGGGGAAUAUUGCACAAUGGGGGAAACCCUGAUGCAGCAACGCCGCGUGAGUGAUGACGGUCUUCGGAUUGUAAAGCUCUGUCUUCAGGGACGAUAAUGACGGUACCUGAGGAGGAAGCCACGGCUAACUACGUGCCAGCCGCCGCCGUAACAC
rnacentral:rRNA from 1 species